AGUUGGCUAUGAAACACUUCGUUCUUUGGCCACCAGAGGGCGACAGUCGCCCACACAUCGGCUAUUGCUGCAUCCUGGGGCAUCCGUCCGGGGCAUCCGGGAGGCUGUGGAAGAGGACUUUGUCACUGAAAUUUCGUGGGGACUUCUCCCCACCCCCCCUCCCCCCCAGCUUUUAAACGCCUUCAAAGCGGCGUAUUCCAAUCCCAGGGAGCAGCCUAGUUUAGGGAUAGCACCUUAGGUACCAGGAUACCAGAUCCGGGGAGUCUAGACGACUGGUUCAGACUCACUGUCUCCUCUGUAAAAUGGGAUGGUUUCCAUGACAGGAGGGAAGUGAAGGGGCUCUGAAGGACACAACGCAUGACGAAGAAGUUUUGAUCAAAGCUGUUUCUCCUCCUGGUGUCAGUGCCAGUAUCCUGCUGGUCACAGAGAAGGAUGGGGAGGCCAAGGAGCCUGCCCACCAUGACCUCGGGUGUCCCGGAAGGUGACUGUGUCCCUACAUCCGAGGGCAGGAGGGAGGCAGGGAAGCUGGGACAGGGUAGGUGGUAGUUCACAGGGUGACGGCUCUGGCCCUGGUUCUGACACCGCCUCACAGUGUGACCUCAUGUGUGCCUGGCCAUCUGUGCCUCUGGACCUCCCAGCGCCCUCCCAGCUCUGCCAUUGCAGUAUCUCCCAGCCUGCGGUCCUCUGAGCUGUUUUGAGAGAGAAAGAUCACUGCUGUGGGAGUUGGAGGGAGGGGCUGAAGAAUAGCCCCCAUGCACCUGGAGAUGGGAGUUUCCCUCUUCCUUUGAGCCUCGAUUUUCUUAUCUGUGGAAUGGGCAGGUUAGACUAGGUGAUCUGUAACCAUUGUCUCUUCACCCUGUCUCAGUAAAUACACACAGAGUUCAUAUUGGUGCUAAUUAAACAAACAAACGUGCCUCUGCCCAACCUGGCCAGGUCUCCAGGGACAGACACUUUGGGGCACAUACAAGUGUCAGUUCUGGAUCCUGAGCUCCCCGCCCUUCUUUCUCCUUGCCAAAGCUCUCUCCCCUCUGGGUCUCCAGUGUGCUGUCUACGACGGGUCAUUUUGUCUUCGGGGGCUUCUUCUGUCUCCAUCCACAGCCCUCCAUCCUCCCAAGUGAGGGAGCUGUCCACAGCUUUGUCCUUUCUAGUCCCUGUCCCCAGUGCAUGACCCACCCACAGCCAACACCACGGGCAUAGGAGCUAUUCCAUAAACAGGAGCUGGAUGAAUAUUUAAAGGGAAGUAGUAAGUACUAUAUUAACAACUUACAUGGAUGUUGUAAUGAUCCACAGUGAAAUAUUCCCUCACCUCUUUGCGAAAUUAUCAUUCCAAACCACGGAAUACAUUAGGUUUUAUGAUCUACUCGCUUCCUUGGGGAAAUAUAAAUCUUGAAACAUCAUCUUCAUAGGACAGGGCAAAGAGUCCCCUGGGACACAAGAUGUUUAAGAACGUUAACUGAGAAUCAGAAAUAGUUUGCGAUUAAUAUCGGGGUUUUGUUUAUGGGCACAAAUAAAUCCCUGGUGUAGGGCUGACCUGUAAAAAUCUGUCCAAGAUGAAAACUCUGCAGUUGAUGGAAAUGGGGAAACAAUCUGAAUUUAAAGAGGUGAUUUGGGGUGCAGGGCUGCAGUGUUUAGGAGCUAAUAUUUUCUGACCGUAAAUUUGUAUGCUGUUCAAACAUUCCUAGUCACCCACUAAAAUAAAUAUGAUAGAGACUAGGAAUUUAUAUCAACGGUCUACAGCCAUCCAAGUUUUGUAAGUAGGUCGUGUGAAACAGGGAGGUUCUUGUUCCUGGGGUCAUUGAAAGAUCCCCCCUCAGUCCUGUUGCGCCAUCACUCAGGUGAGGCCCCCGCUGUGAGAUGCUCAACGUUGGGGGGUUGGAGAGAAAGCUGUGUCAGCGUCUGGGGCCUCGGGUGACUGGAAGUAGGGGGUCCUCCUGGGAAGAGAAUUGCUUUGGGGGUGAGGAGACCCACGUGUGCCCUCUCACUCAGUAGCUCUGUGGGAGGUUAGGCAGGCCUCUUCUUUGUUUACAAUCCAUCACGGACUCCUCAUAGCUUCUCGAACAAAGUCGAACCCUCAGAAGCUCUAGCCCGGGUCAUAAAAUCCUCUGUGACUUGACUCUGCCCCUUUCUCCAGGAUCAUUUCCCAUCACACCAGGCUUUCGGAACUCAGUACGUCCUCUCCACUUCUUGGUCCCUUAACCUGCAGCUUCUUCCCAGAAUAUCCUUCCCCUUUGAGCCAUUUGGUACACAAAUUGCUAUUUUUUAAAAACAGCACGACGGUCUUCUUGUCUCUCAAGCCUUCUCAGUGGCUCCUGGGGAGAGGUAGUUUCUCCUUCCUUUGAGUUUCUGGUAAACCCUGAACAUCGCGCUCUCCCUCUGUCUUGCGACCGCCCUGUACACAGAAUUACAGAACCUACUUCCCUGUCUUACUGGUCUUGGACUUGGCCAAGGGGCUUGAUUAAACCAGUGCGAUGUGAACAGAAGAGCCAAGGCCUUAAGAGGCCAUGUGUUUUCGUGUUCUCUAGUGCUUCUUUGAUUUUCCAUGGGAAGAAUGUGUCUCCACAGCUGCUCUCCCAAGGAGAAUAUGGAGUCACCUGGAGCCACUCUGAAUCCCUUGUCUGGAGCCAACCCCAGCUGCCUUCAGCCUGGAGCAGAGCUGCCUUCACCAAAGCACAGACACGGUUCAUGGUCUCUCGGAGAGUUACUUCCAGUAUAUUGUUUUUCGAACUUAGCCACCAUCCACAGACAUGAGGAUGGAAAGGAAGAAAGGGGUGAAUGGGAACAGGGAACAGUGUCCCGCCACGUGGAAGACUGUGUGGACUGGCUGCAGGGUUGGGUGAGAGUCACUCACGCCACAGUUCCACGGGGUAAGGAUUCUCCCCAAAUCGUUCAUGGAAACAAAAUUUCAUUCGCUUUUAAACAGUAUGUUCUUCAAAUUUCUCUGUUAUGUCUAUUUUAAAAAAAUCACCAGUGUAUUGGAAUAUUUUGAAAACUCACCCACUCCUGCCUGAAAGGUGAUCUAAUAACAGUCUGGUGCCUGUCAUAAUCUCUGCAGCUCUGGCCUGGGGGUCCCCAAGUUUGAAGUGGCGUCCCUCAUUCUGUCCCUGGGGGUGCGGAGGGAGCCCGACAGCCCAUCGUUUCUUGCCUUUGAUAAGCACCUUCCUUAUACGAAUUGCACCUUCCCCUGAAGUAACUUUUCCAGCUUUACCCCUCACCCCCCCCCUUCUGUCCCUGUUUAAAAGGAGGCUAUUCAGACAGCUUGAGAACAAUGAUGCUUCGGGAUGGUUUAAUCGGGGAAAGGAAACCUGUAGAGGGUCUUAUCUGGGGUGAGUGUCUCAAGCAUCCAAGAUUAUCUCCCUGUCACCUUGUGACCCAUCUUCUUCAUGCCACCUUUUAAUUUUGGUAGCAAUUACGGUGUAUCUGGAUAAUGCCCAUUAGCAUAUUCAUGGUCAUCUCUUCACAUUUAUUGUCCACACGACUCAUUAAUCUUCAUCUACUUUGUGUGUUUGACAGCUCAAUCUAUUUUGCAAUCUCUGGGAAGCAGCCAUAGCCCCCCACAGCCUUUGUUUUCCUGUAAAUAAACGGUGUUGGGACCAGAGGACAAUGGUGCAUCCCGUGGUGAUUGACACCAGCCACGGUUACUAAUCAGGAUGGGACUUCAUCGCCAGCUGAGUCGAGUGCAUUACGGGGCCAUUGUUCCAACGCUGCCAGGGCAAGAACACACACAGCCAGUCACCUUCGCAAGAUGGGUUGAUUGUUCUUCAAGAUUAGACCGAGUUGCCUUAUUAUCCGUCCCAGACAACAAGGCAUCUCACCCAAACAGACGCAUGUGCAGGGAUGGCCGGUGCGCUGGCCAGAUUUGAAUUGCUAAUGUAUAAUCUGCCCGGCACAGAUGUGCAAUGAAUAUUUGGAUGUUGUUUUGCCCGUCAGUCGAAGAGGCUGAAUGGAUGAGGUGAUGAGUCUUCAGUGAUGGGUCCUGGACGUUGGCCAACAGCAGAGUUUGAGAACUUGUGCUGACGAUAAUCAGGCUACCCUGCAAAGUACCUUUGCGGUACUUUAGCAGCGAAUUCUGUUAGAGACUGGUUGGUGGAAAGUUCCCUUUCCUUUUUGGUGCAAUGAGAUGUUUCGUUAUGUGUUUCAGACUUGGAAAACGUAUAGAAGUUGCCUUUAUCGUGCCCUCACCUACCAACACUUGAGGCCGUGAGUAACGCAGAGCUGACUGGUUGGGUUUGAAUUCCCCGUUUUCUAGCUUAUUUGUUUAAGCUCAUUUUGCCUGUUAAAAUAUGGCUGAAAAAUUCUAUCAACCACAUAGAGCUGCUCUGAGAAUCCAAUGAGUUGAUGUACAUAGAAUAAGCCCUAGAACAGCGCCUGGCUUGAGCGUGUGCUCAACAAAUGUUAACAAUUACCAUAUUAUUGGUCAUUUGCUUUUUCUCAAUGUUACUGUGGUCAAGUAGAUUGGAUACACUGAGAAUAAAGUUAAACCAUGUUCAUUACGUCA